CCCUUAGAUGUUCUGGGCCGCACGCGCGCUACACUGACGAAUGCAACGAGCUUAUAACCGUGGCCGAAAGGUCUGGGUAAUCUCCAAAUUUCGUCGUGAUGGGGAUAGAUUAUUGCAAUUAUUAAUCUUCAACGAGGAAUGCCUAGUAAGCGCAAGUCAUCAGCUUGCGUUGAUUACGUCCCUGCCCUUUGUACACACCGCCCGUCGCUCCUACCGAUUGAAUGGUCCGGUGAAGCGUUCGGACCGUGGCCUUUGGACGGUUCGCCGUCUGUUGGCUGCGGGAAGUUCGUUAAACCUUAUCAUUUAGAGGAAGGAGAAGUCGUAACA
rnacentral:rRNA from 1 species